UCUACCUUACAAAACACAAGCAACAAAGAGUGUUCCACACAGAAACACACAACACAACCCACAAAGAAUCACAUUCAUCCAUGGCUUUCUCCCCUCACAUCUUCAACUCUUUCAAUCUUAAUAUGCCAAACAACAACCACAGAGAACAAAAAUACAAGCUUUAGGAUUAGGGCUAUCCAACUUUUCUUUGUUUUUCUCUAUACACUCUAUGUGUUUGUUCAGUGUUCAGAGGUUUCUGAUAUCUCAAAACAAAAGAAAUCCACCCUUUUUACUUCCUCCAACACAAAAUUUCUUUCCGUUUAAAUUUGAGUUUUGGUUUUAAUUUAAGUUUUCUUAAUUUGCAAUCCUGGUUUGUUUUUUUCUGGAUUUGUAGCCCAAAAAAAUUCCUGCUUUCAAAUCAGUUGUUCUGGGUGGGCUGUGGGGAACAAAGGUGAUACCUUUUGAAAAACUGGAGUCUUUUGGGUGGUUGGUUUUGUGGUCACCAUUAUUGUUCUUCCCCUUGGCAACUUUCUUAGAUGAAGGCCAUGCCCUUGCCUUUUGAGGAAUUUCAAGGGAAGGGAUUGUUGGAUUUCUCUUCGGCCUCAGAUUCAUUUUCACUGCUUUUGCAUCAUCCACAACCAAAGUGGACCAUAGACAAAGAGGAUUAUUGCUAUGUGGGCAGCACUGAGCCCACCUCAGUUCUUGACUCCAGAAGAAGCCCAAGCCCUCCCACUUCCUCCUCUACAAUGUCCUCUUCUCUUGGCAGCAACAGCACCAGCAAGGGUGGUGGCAGUGGCACUUCAGCCACCACCACUACCACCACUGGUGCUGCAGCCCUUACACCCUCUGACAACAACAACAACAACCCUCCUCCUGAUUCCAGCCCUGAAAAAUGUGGCAUCAGGAUGGAUGACUGGGAGGGUCAAGAUCAAUCCAUUCUCAGGCUAAUCAUGGGGGAUGUUGAAGACCCUUCUGCUGGAUUGAGCAAGCUCUUGCAAAACACUGCCUGUCCCUCUCAAAGUGUUGAUUUCAAUGCAGGCUUUGGUGUUGUGGAUCAAGGGUUGAAUAUGGUGAGUGCUGCUAUUGACCCUUCAGGGAAUUACCCUGCUGGUUUCCCUUUCAUUGCUGAGAAUAUUGAAUCCCACAAUGGCAAGCCUGCUUCUGUGUCUGCCCAGGUUUCAGAAUCUGUUGUUUUUUCUGCCAAUAAUCCUCUUAUGGUGUCAUCAUCUGUGUCUCCUGGUGUGUUCUCUUCUCAGCAGCCGCAGCAUGAGUUUGGAGUGGUGGAUGAGAAGCCUCAGGUUAUCAACCCCCAGUUCAUGUUAAACCAGAACCAAGUUCAGUUCUCAGAGAACCCUUCUUUCUUUGUGCCAAUGAUGUAUCCCCAGGUUCAGGAGCAGCAGGUUUUCCCUCAGCAUCAUCAAGCAAAACGCCCUCUCUUUGACACAAUUGGGCACAAUUAUCAGGCUCCAAGGUUGCCCCUUUUGGAUUCUGGGCAAGAGAUGUUUGGCAGGAGGCAGCAAACACAGCUUCCAUUAUUUCCUCACCAUAUCCAACAGCAACAACAACAACAACAACAUCAAUCAAUUGUUAUGCCUUCUGCUAAACAGCAGAAGGUGAGUUCCGCCGGAGACGAUGCAAGCCACCAGCUUCAGCAGGCUAUAUUUGAUCAGUUAUACAAAACUGCUGAGCUGAUAGAAGCUGGUAAUCCGGUUCAUGCGCAAGGGAUAUUGGCGCGGCUCAAUCACCAGCUCUCCCCAAUUGGUAAGCCUUUUCAGAGGGCUGCUUUCUACAUGAAGGAGGCCUUGAUGUCACUGCUUCAUUCAAAUCCUCACACUUUCAUGGCUUUCUCACCAAUCAGUUUCAUAUUCAAAAUCGGAGCUUACAAGUCCUUUUCUGAGAUAUCACCUGUUCUUCAGUUUGCCAAUUUUACCUGUAACCAAGCCCUCAUUGAAGCUGUAGAAAGGUUCGACCGAAUUCAUGUCAUUGAUUUUGAUAUUGGGUUCGGAGUGCAGUGGUCAUCUUUCAUGCAAGAAAUUGCCUUGAGAAGCACUGCUACACCUUCCCUCAAAGUCACUGCCAUUGUGUCACCCUCCACUUGUGAUGAGGUUGAACUCAAUUUUACCAAAGAAAAUUUGAUGCAAUACGCCAAGGACAUCAACGUGUCUUUUGAGUUCAGUGUUCUCAACAUUGAAUCAUUGCACUCCCCUUCUUCUCCACUGCUUGGCCAGUUCUUUGACAAUGAGGCCAUUGCUGUGAACAUGCCAGUUUCAAGUUUCACAAACAAUCCAUCGUUGUUCCCUUCAGCUCUUCACUUUGUGAAGCAGCUCAGGCCAAAGGUUGUGGUCACAUUGGACAGAAUCUGUGAUCGAAUUGACGUGUCACUUCCCACAAAUGCAGUCCACGUUCUCCAAUGUUAUUCAGCCUUGUUGGAUUCCCUGGACGCUGUGAAUGUGAAUCUUGAUGUUCUUCAAAAGAUUGAGAGGCAUUUCAUUCAACCAGCCAUCAAGAAAAUCAUCCUUGGCCACCACCAUUCUCAAGAGAAACUCCCUCCAUGGAGAAACCUCUUUCUACAAUCUGGAUUUUCUCCAUUCACAUUCAGCAACUUCACUGAAGCUCAAGCUGAGUGUUUAGUUCAGAGGGCACCUGUGAGGGGAUUUCACGUGGAAAGAAAGCCUUCAUCUCUUGUUCUGUGCUGGCAGAGGAAAGAACUCAUCUCUGUUUCUACUUGGAGAUGCUGAGAAGAAGCAGCAGCAGCAGCAGAAUCUAAUUACCUUAUAUUUUUAGAGAGGAAAAUUUGGUGAUGUCAACUUUGCAAUGAUGUUUCAUUGGUGUGGACAAAGUCUGCACGAUGCACCAUACAGUUGGGCGUUUACUAUAGUUUGAUGAAGAGACGACAAUGCAAUGACAGAAUUUGAUCCAGUUCCUUCCAUAUCAUGUUUGUAUAAUUGUUUUUAUCAGAAAAAAAAAAUUCCAAACUUUUAAUCAAAUUUAGCUUUUAUUCUUGUAA